GUUUUACGCCGUCGCGGCUAACCUCAAUCGUGUAUUUCUGUUUGACAGCUCGCGUGCACUGUUUACAUAGACUUAGUCGCGUUCGAACGAAAAGUGCUGGGUAUUUUUUUUAUUCAAAAUCGGCCGGAAUUACAAAAGUCAAGUGGGAACCGAAGGCGAAGUGGGCGGCAAACUUGUCUACAUGCUCGCUGUCUACAUGCUCGCCGAACGAAAACGAAGCCGUGCUGCUGGCGGAGAUGGUCAAGCAAUGCCUUGUUCCGACGCUCUGCCUGGAAUGACCUACAGGGGACCGAUCACCAAGGACAUGCAAGUCCCAGGAAACUACCGCACCGUGCUCCAGCUCCAGCUCCCGAGGACAUGGUCAAGUUCAAUCUCGAGCGCUGCAACCUCGCCCUCCUCCACCAGCAAAACACCGGCAGACUCUUCAUCGUCCUGUUUGAGAAGAAAAAGAAGCUGCUCUCGGAGGUUUUCCGUUGUCGAAGGCCUGCGAAGCGGAACCACUCCAAAAGAAGCUAAAACGCUACCACCGCAACCCGCUCAGGCCUAGGAGGGUCUCCAGAUUGUUAACGGAUGUACCGGCGCAGAAUGGAGUACGCGUAUCGCAAGGAAGGACAUGAUCAAGCUGCUGUUUAAAAACAAUCCGGAGAAGCCGCCGGAAAUCGGAGAGCUGGGCGAGGAAAGAGUUAGAAUCGUGCAGAUGUGUGUCGGAGUUUCGGCGAAUCCGUUUGCGGUGCGGAACUAUUAUCCUCCUCGUGGGCGAUUCUUGACGUAGGCCUGACGGAAAAGGACAGUUUGUCCUUGGUUCAAAUUAGUACGAACUGGUAGUUCGGUUCAACAAACAACUGGUCUACGGCACCUGGCAGCGAGGGUGCUUCAAUCUACAACCAGCUAGAGACUUGUUCCUGGUUUCGAGUUUAAUGUAUGGACAGUAAUGAUAUUAUAAAGUUUUUGAGAUGUUAUUAACCUUGGAAUGUUAAAAUCCUGUUUGGCUUUUAUUUUAAUCAGACGUUUUUAUUUCUGACAUAUAAAAUCAAACAUUUUUUUUAGUCAAAGAA